CCGACCCAAGUCACCCUUCCAUUACUCCAUCUCACUCACAUCUCUCUCUUUUCUCUGUGAUUCUGGCGAAGACAAGCAUUUGAAGAAGAAGAGGAGGAGGACCCAAAUGAUCCAAUUCUCACAUCUGAAAAUCUAUAACAAACAAAUCUGAACACCACCAUAUCCGAUCAAACACUCCAAUAUUCCAAUUAUCUCGCCCUUUCUCGGUGAUUUUCCGAUGCACACCGCCUCCUACCUCCCUCUUCGGCCUCGAGGCGAUCUCAUGGUCUCUCAUCUACCGCACCAACUCCUACAAGUCCCUCCGCUCCUCCAUCGACAAAGCCGCCAAGAAGCUCGAGACCAUGAAGACUGACUCCUCCUCUUCCGCCGCCACCACCACCACGGCGCUUAAAUGGGUUCGAAGAUAAUCAUGUUCUGGUCAAGCUGUUGAAGCACAUGAGCGCCCACUCAAAAGGGUAACUGAUAUUUGUCUUACAUUUCAUAGUUUUUUUGGGGUUUUUAUGUAUGAUUUCGUUCGGGAAAUUAAAUUGAUAGCUUGUGUAAUGAAGACUAAAAAAUAUAGAACAAUUUGUAAGAGCUCAAUGUUACCAAGACAAUAAUUUAUCAUAAGAACAAUCCUUAGCUA